rnacentral:rRNA from 1 species
GCUCAGGACGAACGCUGGCGGCGUGCCUAACACAUGCAAGUCGAACGGAGAAUUUUAUUUCGGUAGAAUUCUUAGUGGCGAACGGGUGAGUAACGCGUAGGCAACCUGCCCUUUAGACGGGGACAACAUUCCGAAAGGAGUGCUAAUACCGGAUGUGAUCAUCUUGCCGCAUGGCAGGAUGAAGAAAGAUGGCCUCUACAAGUAAGCUAUCGCUAAAGGAUGGGCCUGCGUCUGAUUAGCUAGUUGGUAGUGUAACGGACUACCAAGGCGAUGAUCAGUAGCCGGUCUGAGAGGAUGAACGGCCACAUUGGGACUGAGACACGGCCCAAACUCCUACGGGAGGCAGCAGUA